UGCAAUUAAAAAGAGUUACCAGGCACAAGUAUUCUAUAUGAUUUCUGUCGAAUGCAUGCGGAUCUUCCUCACUAGUAUUCAACAUAACUUCAAGAAAAUCUGUUCUACUGUCAUUUGGUGAUUUCCUCCUUUGCUCCAAUCGUUCAUCGAUCAAUCCCCCAAUCAGCUGUAGCAACUUAUCAGAAUGCUUGCCUAUGCGUCGCCUUAUCCCUUGAGGAUCAAUCCUUUUCAACACGGGGAAAUGAUCGGACAAAUUGGGCUUACCAGAUUCUUCCAUGACGUCCCAGACCACAUCUUAAAUUCUUUACCUGAAUUUCCUUAAGGGUCGACUACAUCCUUGGAAAAA
rnacentral:misc_RNA from 1 species